AAAGAAACAUGGCUACAUUUUGAAGAACUGGGAUCCGUCCUCAGAAACGAACAAUAACCCUUGCCGGUGACUGCCAGGACCAGUCAGUUGCUGCACUGCCUCUCUAAGACACAGAGAAAAAUAAGGCUCCAUCCCAAUAUUUUCAGAACUGGAACCAUUAUAAUUUCUAUUUUAUGGAUGGAGAAACUGAGGCCUGUGGAAUUCAUGAAAGGCUAGCUGGAGAUCCCAAUAUGAGUAAGUAAGAGGAACGAGUUUCUUUUGACUUAAAAUUUUGCACUCUUUCAAAUAAAAAGCCUGCAAGUGCUGUAAUGAUCCAUCUUCCUUUUGUGUGUAUUAUGCUUUACUUUCUAGUCUAUUUAUCAUUGUCUGAUGUAUUUUACAGAUUUAUUACUUUCAUUCUAAUAAUGCUUGUUAAUCAAUGCUCCCUACUGAGUUUUGAUACCAGGUCACACCCCCUUGAAUGGCUUUUGUUCCUGUAAUUGUUCAGCUCUGAAUCAUCUUAAACACAGAUAAAAGCAAUGAGGUCUACUGGACAACUUUGAUUCAAAUAAAAGAAUCAAAGCUAGUUCUAUGAUCAAAUCUGAUGAUCCUGGGCUGCUUCUGGAGUCUCCAAAAUUUGGCAAUAUUUUCACUUUAUUUUUUUUAUUAUGUUAUGUUAAUCACCAUAUAUCACAUCAUUAGUUUUUGAUGUAUUUUCACUUUAUUGGACCAACUUACAGAACCUCUUGAAGCUACUGCUGGUUGUCAGACCUUGUGACAAUGUGUCAUACGUACAUAGGUCUCAGCAGAGUUUCUGAAGCUUUGUAUAUGGAGGCCUUAAAGAAUUCUUUUCCAAAUUGACCUGCAUUCCAGGAACUAAGUUGUAGUAACUCAUAGUAGCAAUUAUUCAUGCUACGCAAUGUUUUCAUACUCCAUAGAUACCUCAAUAGAAAUGCAUGUCAAACAUGAUAUCCCAACUGGUAUAGGAACAAAAACCCUAAACUCUGAGUCAGAUGACAUUAAUUCUCUAUUUCUAGCUAGCUGUAUAUAUGUGAGUAACAUUUCUGUGCUUCAGUUUUCUCACAUGAAAAGAAGUGUAAAUGAAAUCAGAUGUUAUCAUAUGUCUCUAACUUUCUGGUAUUCAUUGCCCUACAACAGUUCUUUUGUAGAAACUUUUCUUCAGUUUCUACCCAGUGUGAGCUUUUCUUCCCACAAGGUCUCCCUGAAUAAAAAAGCACAGUUCUUAAGGAAGACUUAAUAACAUCUUUCCACUUCAAAGUUUACUUUGGUUGUGUAAGAAGUUUAAAAUAUCUGGAAAUUAUUUUUUUGGA